GCUUAUCGAGGAAAAGAUCGAGGUGGGUUGGGGCGGGCUCUGGGGAUUUGGUCUCACAGCCCGGAUCCCAGCCCACUUACCUUGGUUACUCUCCUUCCUUCU
ensembl:miRNA MIR3940 microRNA 3940